UACGUAGGGUGCAAGCGUUGUCCGGAAUUAUUGGGCGUAAAGAGCUCGUAGGCGGUUUGUUGCGUCGGCUGUGAAAUCCCGAGGCUCAACCUCGGGUCUGCAGUCGAUACGAGCAAACUAGAGUGUUGCAGGGGAGACUGGAAUUCCUGGUGUAGCGGUGAAAAUGCGCAGAUAUCAGGAGGAAACACCGGUGGCGAAGGCGGGGUCUCUGGGCAACAACUGACGCUGAGGAGCGAAAAGCGUGGGGGAGCGAACAGG
rnacentral:rRNA from 1 species